rnacentral:rRNA from 1 species
UCGACGGACUCAUAUUGAAACCUAGUGAUUUAUGAGUUAGUGGCGGACGGGUGAGUAACGCGUGGAAAACCUGCCGUAUACCGGGGGAUAACACUUAGAAAUAGGUGCUAAUACCGCAUAAGCGCACAGCUUCGCAUGAAGCAGUGUGAAAAACUCCGGUGGUAUACGAUGGUUCCGCGUCUGAUUAGCUAGUUGGCGGGGUAACGGCCCACCAAGGCAGCGAUCAGUAGCCGGCCUGAGAGGGUGAACGGCCACAUUGGGACUGAGACACGGCCCAAACUCCUACGGGAGGCAGCAGUGGGGAAUAUUGCACAAUGGGGGAAACCCUGAUGCAGCGACGCCGCGUGAGUGAAGAAGUAUUUCGGUACGUAAAGCUCUAUCAGCAGGGAAGAAAAUGACGGUACCUGACUAAGAAGCCCCGGCUAACUACGUGCCAGCAGCCGCGGUAAUACGUAGGGGGCAAGCGUUAUCCGGAUUUACUGGGUGUAAAGGGAGCGCAGACGGCAAGGCAAGUCUGAUGUGAAAGUCCGAGGCUCAACCUCGGGACUGCAUUGGAAACUGUCUGGCUAGAGUGCAGGAGAGGUAAGUGGAAUUCCUAGUGUAGCGGUGAAAUGCGUAGAUAUUAGGAGGAACACCAGUGGCGAAGGCGGCUUACUGGACUGUAACUGACGUUGAGGCUCGAAAGCGUGGGGAGCAAACAGGAUUAGAUACCCUGGUAGUC